rnacentral:rRNA from 1 species
GAUGAACGCUGGCUGUGUGCCUAAUACAUGCAUGUCGAACGAAGCACUUGUGCUUAGUGGCGAAUGGGUGAGUAACACGUACUUAAUCUACCUCAUAGUUUGGGACAACAUUUGGAAACGAAUGCUAAUACCAAAUAUACCUUUUAAUCGCAUGAUUAAUUGGUAAAAGGCCCGUUUGGGUCGCUAAGAGAUGAGAGUGCGGUACAUUAGUUAGUUGGUAGGGUAAAGGCCUACCAAGACGAUGAUGUAUAGCGGGGUUGAGAAGCUGAACCGCCACACUGGGACUGAGAUACGGCCCAGACUCCUACGGGAGGCAGCAGUAGGGAAUAUUCCACAAUGAGCGAAAGCUUGAUGGAGCGACACAGCGUGCAGGAUGAAGGUCUUCGGAUUGUAAACUGCUGUUAUAAGGGAAGAAAAAACCAAUAUAGGAAAUGAUAUUGGCUUGACGGUACCUUGUCAGAAAGCACCGGCAAACUAUGUGCCAGCA